rnacentral:lncRNA from 1 species
UUUUUCUUUUUAGGGCCACACAAAUGGCAUAUGGAGGUUCCCAGGCUAGGGGUCUAAUCGGAGCUGUAGCCACCAGCCUACACCAGGGCCACAGCAAUGCAGGAUCUAAGCCGCAUCUGUGAUCUACACCAUAGCUCAUGGCAAUGCCAGAUUCUUAACUCACUGAGCAAGGCCAGGGAUUGAACCUGUGUCCUCAUGGAUGCUAGUUGGGUUCGUUAACCUCUGAGUCACGACAGGAACUCCUCAUUAUUGCAAUUUUAAUAGCUUUGAUAAUGAGGCUCCAAGAGUUUGCUACCCCUGCCCUCCCAAGUAAAUGCUAGAGCUGAAUUCUCCAUCCCAGUACACAAGGUCCUAAAGCAAUGGUAACUUAACUGUGCAGGUUGUGAGUAUGUGGUUGCAAGUAAUUUGCUGCUUAUCAUAGAAUAUUGAUGGGUAUCUUAAUAUAUCAUAAAUAUUCUAUGAUAAUAGCAAAUUCUAUCAAAUGUAAUAAUAUAAACAAUUUAGAAUGGUUCAAAAUUAUAUCUUUACGUCAUUCUUAUUUAUUAGAAUGUUAUGCUCUUUCCUACAUGAUAUAAAAAGGUGGAAAAGCCCCUGUGGAAUCAAUGAUUUAUAUUUAACACGCAGCAUUUCUGAAGGGUCCACAGGGAGCAACAUAUACUGAUGCCACUUUAAUAAUUAUGCUGAUGAUAAAUUAUUGCUGCACCUGAACUCACUAUAAAUGUUGCAGUGUUUUGUCAAAAUCUGGAUGCGCCCAUGGGAGUGGGUUGAGCAUAUAAACGUUAUCUGUUAUAUGUGUCACAGUUGGAACAAUGGCUGAAAAUGCUGGACAACACCAAAUCUGGCUGCUAAUAUAAAUUUUCAGCAAUGUGUACAGUUUAGCUAUUAGAGGUUACUCUUGCCAAACUCCUACAUAAUUUAAAAGACAUUUCUAACUGAAGGAAACUCAAUUCCUUGACAUCACCAGAGAUGGAGGUAUUUAUACAUAAAUGAAGUUUUCUCCUUAACUAAAGCAAAGCCAUUGUAAGAGGAGGCAGGUCUGCAGCAGUAUGUAAGGGUGUCUAGCCCCUCUUUAAAUAGGUCCCAACUACAAUGAUGAAUGUUAAGGUUCUGUUUUGCUCUCACAGUACACAAUCUGACAGCUAGGAAAAACCAAUGGGCUGAAAACCUGAUAAUCAAGUCUAAACAAAUCAUCUCAUGUAAGACCAAUAGACUUUGAAGGAGAGUUUGAGGGGAAAAUUCCUUGAACUUUGAUACGUGUGUAGCAUACACAACUGUGGGUGUGAAAAUAGAUCCUUGUAGAGAUUAAAUGGCUAUUCCAAAGAUAUCUCAGAAUGUCUGUGCACAUGAGAAAUUCUGUUCAGCUGGUACUUCUCUGUGAAUUGACUCUAGCUGCUUAGGCAGGGUAGACAAACCCCACCCCUCCUCCCUCUCAUGGGCCAAACAUAAGGAAGAGUAUCACGCAGAUCAAAAAGAAGGCAAUGCCAUAUAUUAGAUUCCAGAUAUAAGUGAUAUCAUACGGCAUUUGUCUUUCUUCCACAAAAAAGAAAUUCAAGGACUUGGAGAAUAGACUUGUGGUUGCCAAGGGGGAGUGGGAGGGAGUGGGAUGGAUUGGGAGCUUGAGGUUAAUAGAUGCAAACUAUUGCCUUUGGAAUGGAUUGGCAAGGAGAUCCUGCUGUGUAGCACUGGGAACUAUGUUUAGUCACUUAUGAUGGAGCAUGAUAAUGGGAGAAAAACGAAUGUGCACAUGUAUGUGUAACUGGGUCACCAUGCUGUACAGUAGAAAAAAAAAUAAUGUACUGGGGAAAUAAAAAAUUAAAAUUAAAAUUAAAAAAAUAAAAAUAGAAAAGAAGCAAUGCCAAAGAAAGGACUCUGGGCAGCAGCUGCCUAGAUACAACAUCAGAAAAAUGUUCUAAAACAGACAGAGAAUAUCUGUUCCACAAAUAUAAAGAGAACUCAUCCUUGAUGGCUAAGCAGUGGAGGGUACAAUGUAUCCCUCUUCGUCUAUAGCUGGACUCUUUUAAAAAAAAGAUCUGAACUCUGAGUAAUUGCUGAAAGCCAAGGCUUAGAUUUGUCUGCAAUUAAUAACAAGAAUCCUGACUAACACCAGUAAUCAUCCUGAGCACACUCUAGGAGACAGGGAAGAAAAUGAACAGAAUCAACAUGAUGAAAAGACAAGGGAAACCAGGAUUCAGUGCACCAUAGAUAUGUCAGACUGAGAAGCAAUUAGAAUAUCAGAAACCCAUUUCAUAUUAUAUAUUGCUUAUUGCAUUCCAUUAUGCUUUAAUGGUAUAAAAGCUAUAGUGAAACUUCAAUCCAUAGGGUACAUUCGGUCUUUUUAAGUCCCUAAGUUGAAGGCUCCUAGCAAGUAUUAUUUUAAUGCUGUUAUCAAUGGUUGAACCAAGGGUACCCUAAAUGACAACCGCAGUUAACGUUCUAGCAUGCAAAAAGGGUAGGAGGGCAAUCACCAAUUAGGGUAUACACUAGCUAAUAUAGCAUGUUCAAAUCAGUCCACUGAGUGGUACAAUUAAUUGUUUUUCUUAGAGGAACUGCAUUUUUGCUUCCUUUAAGGACAAGUGAUGUUUUUGGACAAAAGCAGUAUUACUUUACAUAAACAACUCUCUGCUCCAACUACAAGUACUUUAGUUUUUGAAAUUUAAUUUGCAAUUCAGAGUGGCCCAACCUGAUGAAUAAUAAACAAUGAAUAACAUGCCAUAACAGUAAUGAUGCAAAAUAUCAGAUGUUACUGCUUCGUCAAUGACUUUGAUUCAUUUGUUUCUUUGUUUCUUCCUUUACAUGAAUCCAUGAUUAAGCUGACUUGUAUUUUUAGAAUGCCAAGCAAAUUAAGGAGAAAAUAUUUGAAUGGUGCAUACUGAUUUUAUUUUGAAAGUUGAAAUAAUCACUCUUAAAGAAUUUUAUCAGCUCUCUGAAUAAAGAUUGUCCCUUUUAACAGGACAAAGAAUUUAGCACUUGUUGGGGCUCAGUGUGUAUUGAAAUAUUACAGCCAUAAAACCAAAAUUGUUAUCAUCUUCAUUAUCUUUCAUUACACAUUUAUAACAGUGCAUAUCUCUCUUUCCCAGAGAACAAUACACUUAUUCAUCAGCGCCUUAUGCACAAAAGAUACCCCUCACCUUAUCUUUGCUACACCUCUGUAUAGCCUCAGCCCCUCUGCCCAAGGGAACACUCAGAACAUUAACACAUUCUAUAUCAAAUUACACUGUUUCUUCAAAGAUCACUGGGGUGGGGCUUGGAAGUAGGGAGGAAGAAGACCUGAUUCUAAGAAGCUAUUGGUGAAUAGGUUCCAUGAUAUCCAGAAAUUGACAAAAUGAGCAAUAAAGAGGUGAUAUAUUUCAAUAAAGUCACGGCAUCACAUGAAAUUAACAUCAGUACAGUUAUUUACUCAUAAGAUAAUAGUAUCUCUCCCCCUCUCUUUCUUUCUCUGCUAGUUGGCAACAGCAUCAUAUAGAUUUUCUUUUUCCUUUAUAUUCAUUUGAGGGUGACAUAGAUUUCAAUACAACCUAAAAUAAAUUCAGAAUACUAUGCACACAUAUACACUCAAAACACAUUAAUAUUAUUCAUACAUAGUUACUCAAAUAUUAUUGUGCUGUGUAAAAUUUUUAAGUAAAAUUUAAAAAUAUCAAUUAACACAUAUCUCAUAGAACAAAAAACAUUAUUGGUCAAUAGCAAAUAUGACAGGUUUAUGAAAAUUGAAUCUUUUGAAUCAACUUAAUCACUUUCUACGAAAGUCAAGUUGAUGUCACAGAUUGCAGGGGCAUGAGAGAGAAGUUAUCACCUGAUAUUUUCACAAUCUUGGGCUGUGUGAAAUUCUACAAAAGGAAUUAACAUACAAAUUGUCUUUAUGCUCUCACCAAAGUCUACAAGUUUUUAAGUUUUAUGACUGAAAGUUGAGCCUCUUUAUGAGGAAGAUUGCAGCAGGCUGCAAAUUGUGAAAACUGCAAGCUUCAUCAGAAAGGAUGUGUGUCAAUGUUAAUUAAGCUUUCAUUAGAAAAGAAGGCUAAGGGAGCCACAGGAGAAGAAAGAAAGUAAGCUCUAGCUGUUAGUAAUUUAGGAAGUCAGAAGAAUAACCUGUCUUGAUUAGAAAUUAAGGGUCACAGUUUGGGGAGGAAUACAGAAAAAAAAUAGCGAUUUUUUUUUUCCACUUGCUUUUCUAUACCUUUCAUUUGAGACUUCAAGGGCCAUUGUGCAAAAAGACUGAAUGGAUAUUUUUUAAAGGUCAGUACACAGUGAGAAAGGAACCACGAUGAGAGUUUCUGAUCUGCUCACAAGGACUGAUUAAGAAGGCUAUUGUAAGAAAGCUAAUUAAGGCAAUUAACCCAGCAUCAGGCAGAGCAGCUGGUGGGGAUUUUCCAAGCAAAACCUGAGCAGGCCUAGAUGUCCCACUGUCAAUGGCAUAGUCCAGGGGAUCCUGGAUUUUACGAAAAGAUAAGAGUAAAUAGCAAUGUAGGCCUGGGAAGGAACUCAAGGGUUAGAUUAAGUUGAGAGAGAAUUGAUAAUUGCUGAGGAGAAAUCAAAACUGUCCAUGUGUAACUUAAAAAUAAUAAUGUGCACUGACAGUGCCUCACGAGCUUCAAGAGACAGGCACAUUUUGACUUGUUAAUUUGUCUCAUUUUGACAUCAACUCUAAUAUCUAUUACUUCAAGGUGAAACAUCUUUCUUUUGUAAAAUACUGUAAGUGGUUGGACCAUAAGCAUCACUUUAAUUAAUCCCAUUGUCUAGGUCAGCACUUACUCUAGAUGGCACUGUCAGAAACCUGGUGGAGAAAAUUAAAGUGGAUGUUCUAGUCUCUGGCACCUUCAUUUCAAAGUUCAAUAAAUUCUUUGUUCAUAAACAAACUAGGAAACAGCUCUCUUCUUUCUUAGGAUACUAUGGAGGUCUCUUACCUGGCCUUCCUAUUCUCUAGCCUUGCUCCUUUCAAAUCCAUCAUGGACAUUAUUAUUUACUUAUGUGUCAUCUUCUCCAAGAAGCCUUCUUUAAAACCCCAGGUUGAACUCCACUGUCUUUGAACUAUCACAUCCCCGUUGCUCAAUGUGUACGGUGUCUGGGAAUAUUUUUUGUUUUAGUCUGCUUCCUCAAAGGAAUUUUACUCAUAGUUGAAUCCACAAAGUUUAGAAGAAGAGCUGACAUCUAGCAAAUGGCCAUUAUGUGUCUGUUGAAUCAAAGGCAAAGUAUUAUAAUGAUCUGCCCUUCUUUAAAUAGGCAAUACUCAAAGUAUUGCUUUUUUUUUUUUUUUGUCAGACCAAUUAAAUAAACAUUAUGCUUUGGGAUGAUUUUCUCCCAACAGUCCACACGUUGACCUUUAUUUCAAUUGGAUUUUAUGUGGAAAUUACUGCUAGAUGACAAGGAAGCCAUAAGAGUUAUUAGCUCUGAUUUACGGCCCCGAAGGAUGGGUGUGGACUGAUCCUCCAUUGGAUGAAAGCAGAUGCUCUGGUAUGGGUAUGCAAAGACAAGGGUGCUUCUCACUAGAAUGAGAGAAAGGUCCAUGGACAACCUGAGUUAAAUUUUUAAGAAUGUAUGCAAAAGAAUCUAUGUUUGCAGAAACAGUUUUAGUAGAACUUUAUACAAAGCCUCUAUAGGUCCUUAUUAAAUUAGGGACCAUAGAAGGAUCGUGUCCAAUGCAAAAGACUUUUCUGUGGUAUAUGACAAUUCUCAUAUGCAGUUUCACUGCAUCUGUUUAUUACUAUUUAACUGUUUUGCAUCAUUCUGCG